CAGGAAAUUAAGGAAAGUAUACAAAAAUUCGAAUGGGGCUUUAGGAUUUCAAAAAUACUUGGCUAUUAUUUAUGGAAUCAUUAUAAGCAAGCAAAGAAUUAAAAGGCAGAUAUCUACAUGAUUAUAUUUCCUUGGCUUUUUAAACAAUGUUACACAUAAUCACACAUUACACAUACCAAGUUUAUGUUUUAAAAAGUCUUAAUGUUACUAUAAAUAUUUUUUGGUCAUCCAUUCUCUUCUUACCUAUUAUCGGUUG
rnacentral:lncRNA from 1 species